rnacentral:tRNA from 1 species
GAAAUAGCUCAGUUAGAGCAUGGUGCUGAUAAUUCCAAGGUUGCAGGUUCGAUCCCCGUAUGAGACA